rnacentral:misc_RNA from 1 species
UAAUAUCUUUUAUGGCAUAGCUAAGCAAGCAAGAAUGAUAUCAGUCCUGACAGUAUUAAAUGUGUAUCUUUUACCGUAUCUGGGGAGAUGAAGCAAACUAAGCACUGUACUCUAUAUAAGGGGCAGCAAGGGGAAAACACUGUACAAAUCACGAAAAGAAAGAAAGUUGGGACACUAAUGCAGGAGGGUAUGCGAGUGAAAACACUGAUUGAAUUCUGUCUUCUUCUGCCCUUACGAAUGAGAAGGGCAAAAUGUUAAAAUGCUGGAAACUUGGGAAACUGUUCAUGCAUGUAUCUUACAAAUCUUAUGGGCAAAACUUUUAAAUUCUGCGAGUAUAGUGCCCUAUAUAAAAAACAGCGUGGAGUGCCACCAACUUUAGUAUAUUAGAUAUAUUAGGUGCUUGAUGAUGAUGUUUGUGAUGGAAAUGUUUGAUUUUUAUGGAAGAUGAAAUUUGUAUAUGCAUCUAUUGAACAAUUAUUUCACUUCUUGACAAAGCUAAUCAAGUAGUUAAAGU